rnacentral:rRNA from 1 species
GAUGAACGCUGGCGGCGUGCCUAAUACAUGCAAGUCGAACGCACAGCGAAAGGUGCUUGCACCUUUCAAGUGAGUGGCGAACGGGUGAGUAACACGUGGACAACCUGCCUCAAGGCUGGGGAUAACAUUUGGAAACAGAUGCUAAUACCGAAUGAAACUUAGUGUCGCAUGAUACGAAGUUAAAAGGCGCUUUGGCGUCACCUAGAGAUGGAUCCGCGGUGCAUUAGUUAGUUGGUGGGGUAAAGGCCUACCAAGACAAUGAUGCAUAGCCGAGUUGAGAAACUGAUCGGCCACAUUGGGACUGAGACACGGGCCAAACUCCUACGGGAGGCUGCAGCAGGGAAUCUUCCACAAUGGGCGAAAGCCUGAUGGAGCAACGCCGCGUGUGUGAUGAAGGCUUUCGGGUCGUAAAGCACUGUUGUAUGGGAAGAACAGCUAGAAUAGGGAAUGAUUUUAGUUUGACGGUACCAUACCAGAAAGGGACGGCUAAAUACGUGCCAGCCGCCGCCGUAA